rnacentral:rRNA from 1 species
CCUACGGGAGGCUGCAGUGGGGAAUAUUGCACAAUGGGGGAAACCCUGAUGCAGCGACGCCGCGUGAAGGAUGAAGUAUUUCGGUAUGUAAACUUCUAUCAGCAGGGAAGAAAAUGACGGUACCUGACUAAGAAGCCCCGGCUAACUACGUGCCAGCAGCCGCGGUAAUACGUAGGGGGCAAGCGUUAUCCGGAUUUACUGGGUGUAAAGGGAGCGUAGACGGUAUGGCAAGUCUGAUGUGAAAACCCGGGGCUCAACCCCGGGACUGCAUUGGAAACUGCCGAACUAGAGUGUCGGAGAGGCAAGUGGAAUUCCUAGUGUAGCGGUGAAAUGCGUAGAUAUUAGGAGGAACACCAGUGGCGAAGGCGGCCUGCUGGGCUUUAACUGACGCUGAGGCUCGAAAGCGUGGGGAGCAAACAGGAUUAGAUACCCGUGUAGUC